rnacentral:lncRNA from 1 species
AACCUGUUAAUAUGAUUAAUUAUUGCAGUCAGAAGCAAUCAAUUUCCUGAGAGAAAAUAAAAGUAUUUAGUAUUUCCUGAGAAAAGAACAAUAAGUACAUAAAUUGAAAUUACAACAGCAAUGAAAGGUGGAAACCAAAUCAGAGAAGAAGAUAAAACUGGCAGAGGAGUGGAGAUGUUUUGCCGCACGAAAAAAAAAAGUCAACAAAAAAUACCGCAUUAAACGUAAGAUGAUCCUUCGGAUAUGGUAAAUAAAUAUAUCCGAUGAGAUGAAUUCAAACUAUUAUUGCGACUGUAGAGGAAUUAACAUGCUGGAACGAAGUCGCCCUAAUUUUUCGUCUAGGGAGGGCAACUCGGGAGUCGAAGCGACGCUAGAGAUGAAGGUGGAAUGAAAAGUCUCUGAAGGAAUUAAAUGGAAAGAGAAUGAGAAAAAUAAACUGAUGGGUGGGAUCCAUGAGCAAAUAAGUUAAGAUGACAAUUGACUUCCCAUAAAAGCCAAUAUUUUAAGAUGGUAGGUAGGUCCCACAAAAUUUUUUUGAAAAGUCUCUUAACCAAUUAAAAAAAAACUGAUAGAUAGGCCCCAACAUAAAUCCACAAUUAAGCAAAAUAUAUUAGGCUGACAGGUAGGUUCAACAAAGAUUCAAAUUAAGCUAAUAUCGUCACGUGGACAAAAGGAUAUGGGAUUUUAUAGUAGUUAGUAGAUGAGAUGAAUCCAAACCAUUAUUACGACCGGAGAGGAAUUAACACGCUAGAACGAAGUCGCCCCAAUUUUCCGUCUAGGGAGGGCAACUUGGGAGACGAAGCGACGCUAGAGACGAAAGUGGAAUGAAGAGUUUCUGAAGGAAUUAAAUGGGAAGAAAAUGAGAAAAAUAAACUGAAGGAUCGGUCCCAUGGGCAAAUAAGUUAAGAUGACAGUUGACUUCCCACAAAAGCCAAUGUUUUAAGAUGAUAGGUAGGUCCCACAAAAUAAAAUUUUGAAAAGUCUCUUUACCGAUUAAAACAAAACUGACAGAUGGUCCCCAACAUAAAUCCACAAUUAAACAAAAUAUGUUGGGCUGACAAGCAGGUCCCAUAAAGAUUCAAAUUAAACUAAUAUCGCUACAUAGACAAAAGAACAUAAGAUUUCAUAAUAGUUAAUAAAUAACUCGCUAGCAUUAAUUUUUUGGUUUUUUUUUUGUUUUAUUUUAGAAUUAUGUAAAUGCAUUUUAAUUUACUCUCAAUCAAACAAAGUUACAUUUUGAAUAUUUUAAAAAACUUUAUUUAUUUUAUAGCAUGCGACAGGUGAAUGUUCGCUUCCUCGAUCUAAAAAGUAUGAAACAAAAAAUGUCAAAUUUUUUUUUCACAUGAAUAAUCGUUUAUCUAGUCAUCGGUGGGUUUAGUUUUAAGAAAAGAGGAAUGCUUCAAUACACCGGCUAAAUUAAAUCUAGCCGUUCAUAUUUGAGGGGCAAGAUUGACUUUUGCAUAAUAGUUACCUGCUCAACAAGUUACCAUUCGUAAGGGUACACUACAACAAAAAUAGUCUAUAGCUACACUUUUAAAUAUAGGUACAUGUCAAAAAAGUGCUGUUAGCUAAAAUUACCGACACUUUUAAAAAGUGUUGCUAUACGUGGGGUCGCUAGAUAUAUAGUGACAGUUAAAGAGUGUCGCUAUAACCUAAAAGAGUGCUGCUAAUUUACCAACACUUAUUUGUUGGAUUGGGCUUUAUAUUUAGGCAUUAAUAGAUGUUUUUUUAAGUUUUAGCAAAAAUGGGACACUUACUCAAAAGUGUCCCAAAUAUGUGUCCCUAUAACCUAAUUCUGUUGUAGUGGUAAUAUGGGAAAACAAAUACAAGCUAAUUACCAAAUUUGAUUAACCCUAUACA